ensembl:miRNA MIR5585 microRNA 5585
UGAAGUACCAGCUACUCGAGAGGUCAGAGGAUUGCUCCUGAAUAGCUGGGACUACAGGU